rnacentral:rRNA from 1 species
GAAAGUCUGACGGAGCAACGCCGCGUGAGUGACGAAGGCCUUCGGGUCGUAAAGCUCUGUUGUUAGGGAAGAACAAGUACCGUUCGAAUAGGGCGGUACCUUGACGGUACCUAACCAGAAAGCCACGGCUAACUACGUGCCAGCAGCCGCGGUAAUACGUAGGUGGCAAGCGUUGUCCGGAAUUAUUGGGCGUAAAGCGCGCGCAGGCGGUCUCUUAAGUCUGAUGUGAAAGCCCACGGCUCAACCGUGGAGGGCCAUUGGAAACUGGGGGACUUGAGUGCAGAAGAGGAGAGUGGAAUUCCACGUGUAGCGGUGAAAUGCGUAGAUAUGUGGAGGAACACCAGUGGCGAAGGCGGCUCUCUGGUCUGUAACUGACGCUGAGGCGCGAAAGCGUGGGGAGCAAACAGGAUUAGAUACCCUGGUAGUCCACGCCGUAAACG